rnacentral:rRNA from 1 species
AUUGAACGCUGGCGGCAUGCCUUACACAUGCAAGUCGAACGGCAGCGGGGGUGCUUGCACCUGCCGGCGCGUGGCGAACGGGUGAGUAAUGCAUCGGAACGUACCCAGUCGUGGGGGAUAACGCGGCGAAAGCUGUGCUAAUACCGCAUACGUACUGAGGGAGAAAGCAGGGGAUCUUCGGACCUUGUGCGAUUGGAGCGGCCGAUGUCAGAUUAGCUAGUUGGUGAGGUAAAAGCUCACCAAGGCGACGAUCUGUAGCUGGUAUGAGAGGAUGAUCAGCCACACUGGAACUGAGACACGGUCCAGACUCCUACGGGAGGCAGCAGUGGGGAAUUUUGGACAAUGGGGGCAACCCUGAUCCAGCCAUGCCGCGUGAGUGAAGAAGGCCUUCGGGUUGUAAAGCUCUUUCGGCCGGGAAGAAAUCGUGCAGGCUAAUACCCUGUAUGGAUGACGGUACCGGAAUAAGAAGCACCGGCUAACUACGUGCCAGCAGCCGCGGUAA